UACCUGUGGCCGUGUAUCCACUGUUUGGCUUUCCUCCGGUCUUGUCCAGCUGUGCAUUUUGUGUGCAGUGACUUCCGAAUGUUCUCUUGGCAUCUGUAUUAAGUGCAGAUGACCCAUGGAAUUCUAUGAGCCUCGCUGGGAUUAGGCGAGAAGUUUUGGAUCGUGUGGUGUUGCCGGUUUUGGUCCGGGUUUGCUGCUGUUCUUGCCAGCGCGUUUCUACUAAGUGCUGUUUUCUCUGAUUGGUGCAGCUGCCUGCAUGAGGAGGGCUGCGAAACCACCACAGCCCUUUAACACUAGUUUUAACUUUUGUAGGGUGUGUGUGUGUGUAUGUGUGUGAGACUGUUUGUGUGCCUGAUCAUUAUUCAUUUAUAAUCAAUGUGUGUGUUUGGAGUGUGGUAUGAGGGAUAUUUUCUUUUCUGUUAAAUUGGGUAUUUUUGUUUAUUUGUUUUAGUCCUGGGCCCUGUACUACGAACGGAGGUUAACCUACCCAGAAGUAACCCAGGGUUCCCCCGCUAAACCGGGGUUGACAAAACCUGGUUAUCUUGUUUGGGGUUAAACGGUACUACGACGCCAGUUAUGAAGUUGAUUUGUUGAACCUGUGUUAACCUAAUCAGGGUUAAUGCGCGUUCACGUUAAAGGGGAGGUUAUCAGCGCAAAUCCCCGCUGUUCACAAUGGCACGGUCGCCGUACUUCACGGAGGAAGAAUGCGCUGUCAUAAUGCAAAGCUACGAGGAGUUCAAAACAACAUUAAGAGCAAAAUCUAACACAGCGGCUGCCAGUAAGGAGCGGCAAGCAUGUUGGCAACGAAUUGCCGAUCGGGUAAAUGCGCAAGUACAUUCUCCCUUCUACAUGUUCCAGAACAGGAGUAUAGGAUGAGAGAAAGCUUCAUGAUCAAUCACAAGUCACAGAAAAUGGUCCUUCGACGUGGCCCCAGUCAUAUAUAGCUUGUUUAAUGUCCGAAAAAUCCUGAAUAAAAUUUGGUAUGGUAAAUUCAUGGAGUCGCCUACUUAAGCUGAUCUGUGCACAGAGUCACAUGAAUUAGGAUGACUGACUGUUCAGUCCCUUUGACUAAGUUGGUGUCGGUCCUGUGAACAUUUCGGAGGCAACAGCAGUGCCAAACGCACCUGGCAACAGGUGAAAAUGAAAUAUAAAAACAUCAUUCAUAAUGGUGUGUGUGCGCGCGUGCAAGCAAGCAUUCAUUUGCCUUUUAUUUAUUCAAGUUUUAUCUGUUUGCCUAAUAGUUCAAAUUGUUUUGUAUAUAGUUUAUAAUGUUGUUGUGUGAUAUUAAUGAUAAUAUUGUGGGGAAACUACUUUGCACGGACGUUCAUUUAAUUUAUUCUAUCGUCAUUUUGUUUGUUCUGUUUUUGUGUAUUUUAUUUAUUUAUCUGUUUGUCUAGUUGUAUCUAUUUUGUAUCUCAGACUUAAAUAUUUUUGUAAAACAAGUGUUUUUUUUUUUUUUUUUUAAAUAUUGCGUUCUUGGUAACUAUGUUCUUGAGUGGGUUCUUUUUUUUUUUUUUACAGAAAAGCCGUUCUGCAUGGACAUUCAUUGAAGCCCUCAUUGUUUUUUAAUGGUUAUUUAUGAGCGUUUAGGGGUUACAAUAAUGUAAGUCUAGGUUGCUUUAUAUAAAAGGUAUGUCCAGAAAUAUUGAUGUCACUGUCUAAGCAGAGGGAUCUGGCUUCUUUAGACGCUGUCUUCUUAAAACUGAAUAAAUAUUUUAAAAGAGCCAAAUGAGCCAGUCUUUCGAACGGCUCUUUUCAAAGAACGGAUCACAAAGAUGCGGAUCCCAUCAAAGAGCCAUAAAUCCCAUCUCUAAUCUGCGCUCCGAUAUCGCACGGGUCAUCCAGGUACGCUGGCAUUGUCUCUAGAGGAAAUGUCGGUGGAGAGGUGGUGUUUAAAAAGGGUGUGGUUAAUCGGAAACCUCGGGUUAACCAAGAACAUAACCUGAGACGAGCAGGUUUGAGAUGCAGCGUAAGUUGCCAUGGCAGCAUACCUCGGUUUGAACAUAGCCAACUUUCGUAGUAUGGGUUAAUCGGGAAGUUACGCUGCACGUGAUCAAGUUACUCUCGAAGUUACCCUGGUAAGCCAGAAAACCCGCUUCGUAGUACAGGGCCCUGCUCAGGCUUCACCUGCUGGCAGGAGGCUCUUUUUCUAUAGCUGUGGAUAGCCAGUGGGCUAUCUUAUUCGGCCUGAUUUAUGUUAAUGCCUUUUUUAUUUUUAUUUGGCUUAUUUGGUUUAAUGCUCGUGAGAGCUUAUUUUAUGUGAAUUUGUGUGUGGCCAGCAACCACGUCUGCUAACCUUUCCUGCCGUGGCAAGCAGCCUCAUCUCAUCUCAUUAUCUCUAGCCGCUUUAUCCUGUUCUACAGGGUCGCAGGCAAGCUGGAGCCUAUCCCAGCUGACUACGGGCGAAAGGCGGGGUACACCCUGGACAAGUCGCCAGGUCAUCACAGGGCUGACACAUAGACACACACAACCAUUCACACUCACAUUCACACCUACGGUCAAUUUAGAGUCACCAGUUAACCUAACCUGCAUGUCUUUGGACUGUGGGGGAAACCGGAGCACCCGGAGGAAACCCACGCGGACACGGGGAGAACAUGCAAACUCCGCACAGAAAGGCCCUCGCCGACCACGGGGCUCGAACCCGGACCUUCUUGCUGUGAGGCGACAGCGCUAACCACUACACCACCGUGCCGCCCAUGGCAAGCAGCCUUUGGUUGCCAAUUGUAUGCCAGUACUGGUGGGAGGCUAUUGCAAGCUGUGGAUCAUCAGUGGUCCACGUAGUUCCCCUCCCUUAGUUUACAUGGUACUGUGUGCCCAAGACGGGGUGGCAGCUGAUUCCUUAGGUGGUGGUGUUUUCCUAUUGUCCGUGUGUGUGUUCACGUGUGCCUGUGUGGAAUUCUCCUUUUAUGUUUUUGAUUUUAUUUGAUUUAUUUUGAUUUGGUUUGUAGUGAGUGUGACACGUGGGCUUGCAUGGUGUGCCUCUUUGGAUCUCUUCUCCGUCUCCUGGUAUCUUGCCCCCUGCUGGUAGGCCUCGGCCCCGUUAAUAUUGAUUUCUCCCUUAUCCUUGCCCCACAUACAUGUCAGUUAAAUCUUUGGAUUGUGAGUGUGAAUGAAAGUGAUUGUUUGUGAAGUAAAGGAAAGAAUUUUUAUUUUUGUAAACAUUGUAAUAAAAUAGCCUUUUUGUAUUUUCAUAA